UCGGUCCCGGUUCACGCGGCGCCAUCCCCGGCUCCGCGACCCGGCACC
rfam:Streptomyces sp. SPB74 genomic scaffold supercont3.1, whole genome shotgun sequence.